rnacentral:rRNA from 1 species
CCAAGGAGUCUAACAUGUGGGCGAGUCGUCGAGUCUAUAGUAAACUCGCGAGGCGCAAUGAAAGUAAAGAUCGGCCGUGAAAAACGUGCCGCGAGCGGAGAUCCCGUCUCGAACAGAGCGGGCGCAUCCGCGUGGCGUUCGAUGCUUCGAAUGAGCAAGCCGAACGGACACAGAGCCCACACGUUGGGACCCGAAAGAUGGUGACCUAUGCCUGACCAGGUUGAAGCCAGGGGAAACCCUGGUGGAGGACCGCAGCGAUUCUGACGUGCAAAUCGAUCGUCGGAGUUGGGUAUAGGGGCGAAAGACUAAUCGAACCAUCUAGUAGCUGGUUCCCCCC